GCGGGAGUAGCUCAGUUGGUAGAGCGCAACCUUGCCAAGGUUGAGGGCGCGAGUUCGAGACUCGUCUCCCGCUCCA
rnacentral:tRNA from 1 species